AGCGAACGCUGGCGGCAGGCUUAACACAUGCAAGUCGAACGGGCAUCUUCGGAUGUCAGUGGCAGACGGGUGAGUAACACGUGGGAACGUACCCUUCGGUUCGGAAUAACUCAGGGAAACUUGAGCUAAUACCGGAUACGCCCUUUUGGGGAAAGGUUUACUGCCGAAGGAUCGGCCCGCGUCUGAUUAGCUUGUUGGUGGGGUAACGGCCUACCAAGGCGACGAUCAGUAGCUGGUCUGAGAGGAUGAUCAGCCACACUGGGACUGAGACACGGCCCAGACUCCUACGGGAGGCAGCAGUGGGGAAUAUUGGACAAUGGGCGCAAGCCUGAUCCAGCCAUGCCGCGUGAGUGAUGAAGGCCUUAGGGUUGUAAAGCUCUUUUGUCCGGGACGAUAAGGACGGUACCGGAAGAAUAAGCCCCGGCUAACUUCGU
rnacentral:rRNA from 1 species